rnacentral:lncRNA from 10 species
GAAACAGCUAGAAACAAGGUUGAGUGUUCAGUCUUCCUUCCUGCAGGAAAGGUGAUUCCCUGGAUAAUUUCACAUUAGGCUUUAAGAGCUCCUUUCCUGUGGCAUUGUGGGGGUGGAAAAAGAAAAGCCAGUCUUUUAUCUUUAUGGAAAUCUCACUGUUCGGAUACAAAAGUCUGUAAUAGAGAAUUGUUCCGCCUCUUAAAGGAGAUCCGUGGGGAAAGACCUGGCUGGACAGCCUUUUACAUAGCCCCAGUGAAAACAAUGCAGGAAUCUGAAAAGGUCAUUAGGAAAAUAAAAACUUAAAGUCCUGAAAAGCUUUCUGACAAUUGUCCAAGGCCAUGCAGUCCUGAGGACACAGAGGACACCAGCCAUCCCUCAGCCACGACCCACGAGCCAACCCAAUCAGACCACAUCUUGUCUUUCAGGAAAAUGCACUGAAUUUUGUACCAUGCCCCCAAAAGCCUGGAUCAAAUUAAGAGUUUUAAUACUCAAAGUCAUUUAUAUUGUGUCUCUAAAGCAUAUACAAUAAAUGUACGCAUCACUCAGGAUAUAUUAAAAUGUUUUGCCAUACAUUUCUAAAAUCUUAACAAAUAUCAUGAACACUUUAAAAUACUACUUUUAUUUUGAUCAAAAUGCAUUCCAUCAUUUGAAAAUCAAGUAGUAAUUGGAUAGAUUCUAAUAAAUAAACACAGUUCUCUGCUCAGCUUCUUCUGACAUCUUUCAUACCCUUGAAACAACACAUUUCAACUCUGUAAUUUAAUUUUUUUUCUGGAAUUU